rnacentral:lncRNA from 1 species
ACAAAGGCCAUGAAAGGUUUUAGUCGAGGUGUCAGAAGGAAUGGAAGAGGGUGUGGAGGUGGCAUGUGGCGCAAUGGUGAUCGCACGUGCUCCAUGUGGGGUGAAGCUAGAAUUUAGGGGUUUGACAGUCAAAGGCAAGAAGGUGGGAACUUUGAUGGAAUGAGGGGAGAGAGAAGGUCCAGGGACUGUGGUUUUUGAUGCUGAAGAGGUGAAGGUGGCUGAGUAUGAAACAUGAGACAAAGAGACAGACAUUAUUAGAUUAAUACGUCUGAUACAAAGGCAGCAAUGUGUUGGAAUUUUGGCCGAGUGUUAUGCUUGAUGCCAA